rnacentral:rRNA from 1 species
AACGAACGCUGGCGGCAGGCUUAACACAUGCAAGUCGAGCGCCCCGCAAGGGGAGCGGCAGACGGGUGAGUAACGCGUGGGAAUCUACCCAUCUCUACGGAAUAACGCAUGGAAACGUGUGCUAAUACCGUAUACGUCCUUCGGGAGAAAGAUUUAUCGGAGAGGGAUGAGCCGGCGUUGGAUUAGCUAGUUGGGGGGGUAAAGGCCUACCAAGGCGACGAUCCAUAGCUGGUCUGAGAGGAGGAUCAGCCAAACUGGGACUGAGACACGGCCCAGACUCCUACGGGAGGCAGCAGUGGGGAAUAUUGGACAAUGGGCGCAAGCCUGAUCCAGCCAUGCCGCGUGAGUGAUGAAGGCCCUAGGGUUGUAAAGCUCUUUCACCGGUGAAGAUAAUGACGGUAACCGGAGAAGAAGCCCCGGCUAACUCCGUGCCAGCAGCCGCCGCGGUAA